rnacentral:rRNA from 1 species
AUUGAACGCUGGCGGCAGGCCUAACACAUGCAAGUCGAGCGAGCGGCGGACGGGGGAGUAAUGUCUGGGAAACUGCCUGAUGGAGGGGGAUAACUACUGGAAACGGUAGCUAAUACCGCAUACCAUCAGAUGUGUCCAGAUGGGAUUAUCUAGUAGGUGGGGGAAUGGCUCACCUAGGCGACGAUCCCUAGCUGGUCUGAGAGGAGGACCAGCCACACUGGAACUGAGACACGGUCCAGACUCCUACGGGAGGCAGCAGUGGGGAAUAUGGCACAAUGGGCGCAAGCCUGAUGCAGCCAUGCCGCGUGUGUGAAGAAGGCCUUCGGGUUGUAAAGAACUUGCAGCGAGGAGGCGUUACUCGCAGAAGAAGCACCGGCUAACUCCGUGCCAGCAGCCGCGGUAAUAC